UGCAGAAUCCCGCGAACCAUCGAGUCUUUGAACGCAAGUUGCGCCCGAGGCCUCUCGGCCGAGGGCACGCCUGCCUGGGCGUCACGCCAAACACGCUCCCACCCUUCAUCGGGGUGCGCGACGCGGCAUGUGGCUCUCCGUCACGUAAGGGGCGGAGGGCCGAAGAUUCGGCUGCCGGCGUAUCGUGUCGGACACAGCGCGUGGUGGGCGAACUCGCUUUACUUACCGCAGUGCCUUCGACAUGUAGCCGGCGGAUUGGCCACGAAUGACCCUAUGAACGGAGCGCACGACGCUUCGACCGCGACCCCAGGUCAGGCGGGACUACCCGCUGAGUUUAAGCAUAUAAAUAAGCGGAGGAGAAGAAACUUACAAGGAUUCCCCUAGUAACGGCGAGCGAACCGGGAUCAGCCCAGCUUGAGAAUCGGGCGGCCCUGCUGUCCGA
rnacentral:rRNA from 1 species